UCUACGGAGAGUUUGAUCCUGGCUCAGGACGAACGCUGGCGGCGUGCUUAACACAUGCAAGUCGAACGAGGGCGCCUCUUCGGGGGUGUUCCUAGUGGCGAACGGGUGAGUAACACGUGGGCAACCUGCCCCCGGCUCUGGGAUAACUCCAAGAAAUUGGGGCUAAUACCGGAU
rnacentral:ncRNA from 1 species